UACGGGGGGGGCAAGCGUUGUUCGGAAUUACUGGGCGUAAAGGGCUCGUAGGUGGCCAACUAAGUCGGACGUGAAAUCCCUCAGCUUAACUGGGGAACUGCGUCCGAUACUGGAUGGCUCGAGUUUGGGAGAGGGAUGCGGAAUUCCAGGUGUAGCGGUGAAAUGCGUAGAUAUCGGGAGGAACACCGGUGGCGAAGGCGGUUCUCUGGGCCUUACCUGACGCUGAGGAGCGAAAGCGUGGGGAGCGAACAGG
rnacentral:rRNA from 1 species